GCCCAAAAUGAAAANCCANCUUGCUGGCGUUGUAGUUGAGCGACCUUGGGGUGUCAGUCUGGGUAAGUCGCAUGGAAAUGCGUGCCGUGGAGGGUGAGAGCCCCGUCCAUCYCAUUCAGGACACCCCGCACAAGGGCGUUUCAGACGAGUCGGGUAGCUUGGGAAUGCUGCUCUAAUUGGUGGUAAAUCUCAUCAAAGGCUAAAUAWCGGUGGGAGACCGAUAGCGAACAAGUACCGUGAGGGAAAGAUGACAAGCACUUUGAAAAGAGGGUGAAAAGAGCCUGAAACCGUUACGGGGGAAGCGGAUCGCGUUGGCCUGGUGGCCGCCUGUGUGUUCAGCCUUCGGGUGCAUUGAUGCAGGUGGUUAUCCGUCGUGGCUUCUCGGUGGCCGAAUUUGGGCUGCUGGGGGGUGAGGGCUCCCUUCGGGUGAGGACGACGGAGUGACGACGCGAUACGACCCGUCUUGAAACACGGACCAAGGAGUCUAGCGCGGGUGCGAGUCGGAGGGUGUUAAAACCCGUGGGCGAAGUGAAAGCGAGUGUAAAAACGAGCAGUUUGAGGCGGCAUAGAAUCGUUGAUUCUAGGUCCGACCUUGAGCAGUUGCGCUGGGACCCGAAAGAUGGUGAACUAUGCCGGAGUAGGGCAAAGCCAGAAGAAAUUCUGGUGGAGGCUCGUAGCGGUGCUGACGUGCAAAUCGCUCGUCGAACUUGGGUAUAGGGGCGAAAGACUAAUCGARCCAUCUAGUAGCUGGUUCCCUCCGAAGUUUCUCUCAGGAUAGCGGGCCGACAAGUUGUUUUGUGCGGUAAAGCGAAUGAUUAGCGCAUUCGGGGCCGUUUAGGCUUUGGGCGAUUCUCAAACUUUCAAUGCGCAAGGGUACCGGUGCUUUGUUGAGCGGUACCGAUAAAAACGUCGGCCUUGUGGGCCACUUUUGGUAAGCAGAACUGGCGAUACGGGAUGAACCGUAAGCAUGGUUAAGGCCUGCCGAAUGAAUUAGCCCUGAAAAUGGAUGGCGCUUAAGCGGGCGACCGACACCAUGCCGUCUGUGAAAUAAUUCAGAUGAGUAGGAGGGCGUGGCGGCCGUGUCGAAGCGUGCUUGCAGAGGCAUGUGGAACGGCCGCUAGUGCAGAUCUUGGUGGUAGUAGCAAAUAUUCAAGCGAGAUCCUUGAAGGGCGAAGCGGGGAAGGGUUCCACGCGAACAUUGAUUGGGCGUGGGUGAGUCGUUCCUAAGCCGAGUGGCGAUUGCUAAGUAGCGGCGAAAGGGAAGCGGGUUGACAUUCCCGCACACGGAUGUGGAGGCGGUGACGCUUUAUUGGGGCGAACACGCUGGCGGUGGCGCUGGGCAGAGUUGUCUUUUCUGUUUGACCGCUGAUGCACGCGGUGUGGAAUCCGCUUGUCGGGAGAAACACGCGUGUACGGGCAGAGCGCCGGGGCUUUUCCGGCGUCCAGCUCGCCACCGACGGCCCUUGAAACUUUGCCUGCUGGUAUUUUUUAUUAAGAUCCACGCCGUGGCGUACCGAUCACCGCAUCAGGUCCCCAAGGUGAACAGCCUCUGCUCGAUAUGAACAAUGCAGGUAAGGGAAGUCGGCAAAUUGGACCCGUAACUUUGGGAAAAGGGUUGGCUCUAGUGCUGCGUGGGAGUGGUUGUCGAGUGUUGGUGUGUUUAGGCUUGCUGGAAUGAGCGCGGGCCUUCGGGACUGUGUUUAUCUGGCGGGCCCGGGCGCGCCACGCUCGACGACGCCCACAGCAUGCAGCAGACUAGAACUGCAACGGGCAAAGGGAAUCCGACUGUUUAAUUAAAACAAAGCAUUGCGAGGGCCGUGGCCGGUGAUGACGCAAUGUGAUUUCUGCUCAGUGCUCUGAAUGUCAAAGUGAAGAGAUUCAAUCAAGCGCGGGUAAACAGCGGGAGUAACUAUGACUCUCUUAAGGUAGCCAAAUGCCUCGUCAUCUAAUUAGUGACGCGCAUGAAUGGAUUAACGAGAUUCCUACUGUCCCUAUCUGCUUCUAGCGAAACCACAGCCGAGGGAACGGGCUCGGCGAAAUCGGCGGGGAAAGAAGACCCUGUUGAGCUUGACUCUAUUCUAAUUUUGUGAAGCAAGCUGGGAGGUGUAGCAUAGGUGGGAGACUUCGGUCGUCCGUGAAAUACCACUACUCCCAGUCUUGCUUUACUUACUGGGUCGGUGUGGAUGAGUCUUACGACUCUUUUCUGGAACCAACCUGAUUUAAUUCGGGGACCACAGCUCAGUACACAUUUAGGAGGGGAGUUUGGCUGGGGCGGUACAUCUUCUACAAGACAACGAAGGUGUCCAAAGAUAAGCUCAGUGAGAACAGAAAUCUCACGUAGCGCAAAAGGGUAAAAGCUUGUUUGAUUUUGAUUUUCAGUGCGAGUCAAAAACGCGAAAGCGUGGCCUAUCGAUCCUUUCACGAUUCGAGAUUUGAAGCGAGAGGUGUCAGAAAAGUUACCACAGGGAUAACUGGCUUGUGGCGGCCAAGCGUUCAUAGCGA
rnacentral:rRNA from 1 species